UACAGAGGGCUCGAGCGUUAAUCGGAAUCACUGGGCUUAAAGCGUGCGUAGGCGGAUGCAAAGGCACCUUGUGAAAUCCCUCGGCUCAACCGAGGAAUUGCUUGGUGAACCAUGCAUCUUGAGGCAGGUAGGGGUGGCUGGAACGAUAGGUGGAGCGGUGAAAUGCGUAGAUAUCUAUCGGAACGCCAAAGGAGAAGUCAGGCCACUGGGCCUGUCCUGACGCUGAGGCACGAAAGCGUGGGGAGCAAACGGG
rnacentral:rRNA from 1 species